UGUAGCUCGGGCGUGGGCGCCGCGGUAGUGCUUGGGUGGCAAGGGUUGUUGUGAAUUACGUGGCGUAAAUGGCUCGUAGGCGGCCUACUAAGUCUGACGUUAAAUCCCUCGUCUGAACCGGGGAACUGCGUCGGCUACUUGAUGGCUUGAGGUUGGGAGAGGGAGGCGGAAUUCCAGGUGUAGCGGUGAAAUGCGUAGAUAUCUGGAGGAACACCGGUGGCGAAGGCGGCAUCCUGGACCAAUUCUGACGCUGAGGAGCGAAAGCCAGGGGAGCAAACGGGAUUAGAUACCCGUGUAGUC
rnacentral:rRNA from 1 species